rnacentral:lncRNA from 1 species
UCUUUUUACCUUUAUGAUGCCUAUCUUUUGUGUUGAAGUUCUGAAUUUGUCUUGGUAUUUGAAUUUUUGAUAGAGAAUUAUGGAGAAUAAUAUAGAACAUUAUGGAACUUUCAAGAUGUCGAAGAACUUUCAAGAAUAUUACAAAAUAAUGUCGUAGUGAUUAGGAUCAUCUUAGCAUCUCUAGAACUUUCUAGGCACAUGAACUAGAUAUUAGAAUCUCUAGAUAGUUCUUGUAAUUAAGUAGUAGAAUUAAAUGUUUCUAGAUAUUUCUAGUUUGUAAUGUAGAGCCUUCCUAGAGUAGUAUAAAUAAGGCUCACCACCUAGUGUUUUGGCAUACUGAAGCAUCAUCAAGCAUUGAAUCAUUCAAGUAAUAUAACUUUUCUUUGAGAAUAUUAGAGUGUUUCUCUAUUUUCUCUACCUUUCCUUUUGUCCCUGAGCCAGAUUUGGUAUCAGAGCUGGUUACGAUACCUCGAAGUUGAGGUUGAGCGAAAAAAAUCAACGGAAAGUGAGUUUUCAAGUGAGCAAGGAGUUGCCUUUGUGAAACUUCACUUUGCGGCCAUUUUGAUCGUGAAACUUCACUUUGCGGCCAUUUUGAUCGCGAAACUAACACCGUCAUUUUGUCUGAGCGAAGAAAUCAACGGAAAGUGAGUUUUCAAGUGAGAGUAAGGAGUUGCUUUCUCAAAACUUCACUUUGCGGCCAUUUGUUCGCGAAGCUAACACCACAAACAAAACAACCACGCACCGCCACAAUCUUCACCCAAAAAGAAAAAAAGAUCAUUGACCACCAUUGUCAAAAUGCCACCUAGAAGACAAAACGAAAGAUCUUUUCAUGAAAUUGAGAUGGAAGAAAUGAGGCGACAAAUUCAACUACUACAGGAGACUGUCAAAGUCCAACAAGCCUUAUUGGAAGCAAACCAAAGAAGAUUUGAUGAUGAUGGCUUUGGUAGAGACUCUUCAUCAUCUAGAAGCACUCGCUUACACCAAUGUCAACCUCGGAUGAAGCAUAUCAAGGUCGACAUUCCAGAUUUCGAAGGAGAACUGCAACCAGAUGAGUUUGUUGAUUGGCUCCAGGCUAUUGAACGCGUAUUUGAGUACAAGGAGAUACCAGAGGAGCACAAGGUAAAGAUUGUUGCAGUAAAGUUAAAGAAACAUGCUUUAAUUUGGUGGGAAAAUCUUAAAAGAAGACGUAAGUGUGAAGGAAAAAGCAAGAUCAAGACGUGGGAGAAAAUGCACCACAAACUAACCCGUAAGUAUUUACCUCCUCGUUAUUAUCAAGAGAAUUUUACACAACUACAAUUAUCCAAAACAUCUUCAUACCAACCUAUUCCCUACACCAAAAAUCAUAUCGAUUCUCAAAAACCACUAACCCACCAACCUAUUUCCUCAUUCAAACCCCAAUAUAAUACAUUCAUAGAGAGAAAUACCAAGAUACCUAAAUGUUUCAAGUGUCAAGAGUAUGGACACAUAGCCUUAGAUUGUGUGAAUCGUAAAGUAUUCACCAUCGUCAAUGAGGGGAUAAACACUAUUUUUGAAGAAGAAAGAGAAAACAUUCAGGAAUCGUUUGAAGAAGAGACGAUGAGAGAACCAAUAUAUGAUGAAGAAUAUGUUGGUGUUGACUUUUGUGAAGAAUGUGAAGAAGAGGGAAAAGGAGAUCCAAUAUAUGAUGAAUAUGGUCCUGGUGAACAUUCAUGAAGCCUUUGAAAAAGAGGAGCAUGAUGAACCAAUAUAUGACGAAAAAUAUAUUCAUGCUGAAUAUGGUGAAUCUUUGGAGGUUGAAAGAAGCUUGCAAACAACUAUUACGAAAGACAUGGUUUGUAAUGCCAUCAUCGAUAACAAAAUCUGUGAGAAUGUUGAAUCCAAUUAUAUGGUAGAAAAAUUAAAUCUACCAACAAAGGAGCGCCUACACCCUUACAAGCUUCAAUGGCUCAACAAGGAUAAUGAGGUAAAAGUAUCUCAACACUCCAUUAUCUCAUUUUCCAUUGGCAAUAAUUAUAAAGAAAAUUAAUGGUGUGAUGUUAUUUCUAUGGAUACUUGGAGGCCAUGUCAAUAUGAUCGUUGUGCAUUAUACGAUGAUUAUGUCAAUACAUGCACUUUCGUGAAAGAUGUGAUCAAAUUGGCACCUCUACCACUCAAUGAUGGAAAAGGGGAAUUUAAGCUACUUGGACUUUCACUCGCAAAGGAACCAUUCAAAGAUAAGACAAAGUUAUGUCUACUUUGUCCAAUUCCUAAGCCACCUUGGGAAAAUGUUGGAACUGAUUUUCCUUCGAAUACUUUUACUUCCGUAGCAAAAGUAUUCUGAAAUCUUGACUUGAGGAUGAACAAGGAAAUCUUGACUCGAGGACGAGUCUCUUCCAACCCGGGGAGAAUGAUAGAGAAUUAUGGAGAAUAAUAUAGAACAUUAUGGAACUUUCAAGAUGUCGAAGAACUUUCAAGAAUAUUACAAAAUAAUGUCAUAGUGAUUAGGAUCAUCUUAGCAUCUCUAGAACUUUCUAGGCACAUGAACUAGAUAUUAGAAUCUCUAGAUAGUUCUUGUAAUUAAGUAGUAGAAUUAAAUGUUUAGAUAUUUCUAGUUUGUAAUGUAGAGCCUUCCUAGAGUAGUAUAAAUAAGGCUCACCACCUAGUGUUUUGGCAUACUGAAGCAUCAUCAAGCAUUGAAUCAUUCAAGUAAUAUAACUUUUCUUUGAGAAUAUUAGAGUGUUUCUCUAUUUUCUCUACCUUUCCUUUUGUCCCUGAGCCAAUUUUACAUUACUUAAUCAUAUUGGGUUUGAUACUUGGAUUACAUAUAUCUGUCUCUGAAGCCGCGAUACUUCGAAAAUGGUGAAGUAUCGUAUCCGACACGUAUCUGAUACCGAUACGCUCCGAUACGUUCCGAUACGGGUAUCGGAAAAGUAUCGGGCAAUUAAUAUUUAUUUUUUUGAAAAACAAUGACCGAUAUGUGUCGGAUACGUUCCGAUACGCGUAUCGAGAAGUAUCAGACAAUUAUUAUUUAUUUUUUGAAGGAAAAAAAUGACCGAUACGCGUCAGAUACGACUAACUUGUACUCCGACACAGCUUACUUAUACUCCGACACCUAUCAAGUUUGGCAGCGCUAUCAAAAUCAUAUUAUCUCUUCUAACCUAAAAUAAUAGGGUUUCUCGUCACCACAUAACAAUAGCUAUUCUCUCUUCUAACCAUUACCACUUAUUGAAUUCUACUCUGUUUCUCUUCUCUCUAAUGUUAUGUUUCUUUUGCUG